CCUACGGGAGGCAGCAGUGAGGAAUAUUGGUCAAUGGACGAGAGUCUGAACCAGCCAAGUAGCGUGAAUGAUGAAUGCCCUAUGGGUUGUAAACUUCUUUUAUAAAGGAAUAAAACGAGGCACGAAUGCCUUCUUGCAUGGACGUUAUGAAUAAGGAACGGCUAACUCCAUGCCAUCAGCCGCGGUAAUACGGAGGAUCCGAGCGUUGUCCGGAUUUAUUGGAUUUAAAGGGAGCGUAGAUGGGUUGUUAAGUCAGUUGUGAAAGUUUGCGGCUCAACCGUAAAAUUGCAAUUGAUACUGGCAGUCUUGAGGACAGUUGAGGUAGGCGGAAUUCGUGGUGUAGCGGUGAAAUGCUUAGAUAUCUCGAAGAACCCCGAUUGCGAAGGCAGCCUCCUAAACUGUGACUGACAUUGAUGCUCGAAAGUGUGGGGAUCAAACAGGAUUAGAUACCCGAGUAGUC
rnacentral:rRNA from 1 species